rnacentral:lncRNA from 1 species
AUCCUGAUUCCCUCAGUGGCUUGCUCCUGCAUUAGUAAUGUAAAACUGGCCCAAAGUGUUUAAAAUGGUCAGAAGUUGAUCUUGAUCAGUUCAAAUAUUUUUUGACAAAGAAAAUCAGUUCUGGUCAGUUCAAAUCUAUUUUGACCAGUUUAAACCAAUUCUGCAGAACUUGAGCCUGAGGUCGGUAGGAAGAUGGCUGAAGACUAUGCUGAUUCAAGCCAAAGCAAGGAAUCAGGUGGUGAGGUCUCUCAGCCUUCAGAUGGGUUCAGAGGUGCUGUCCAGGAUUCAGGGGCUUGGGAAGAGAUACAUAAAUAGAAUGCUCCACAAAAUGUGAAGAUAUUAGUGUCCCCUGUGAAUGCUCAACAAAGAGUGAUAUGAGCAGAGGAGGAUUUGAAUAAUCAGGAUGGGCUGCAAAGGAGAUUCUUCCAGGAUUUCAGAAGUUGGAAGGGAGGCAGAAUCCAUUUGGUAACAUAAACACAUUAUUGCUUAUCUGCUGACUCAACUUGGGAUGAAGCAGCAGCUGAGCCAGUUGUGUGUGUACAGCUCAAGGACAAAGGUCCUUAGCUUCUGCAGAAUACUAUCAUCACCAAG